rnacentral:piRNA from 1 species
UACUUUAAGGUCAUACAGACAUAAAAUGUAA